rnacentral:rRNA from 1 species
AUUGAACGCUGGCGGCAUGCCUUACACAUGCAAGUCGAACGGCAGCGCGGGCUUCGGCCUGGCGGCGAGUGGCGAACGGGUGAGUAAUACAUCGGAACGUGCCCUAGAGUGGGGGAUAACUAGUCGAAAGAUUAGCUAAUACCGCAUACGAUCUACGGAUGAAAGUGGGGGACCGCAAGGCCUCAUGCUCCUGGAGCGGCCGAUGUCUGAUUAGCUAGUUGGUGGGGUAAAAGCCUACCAAGGCGACGAUCAGUAGCUGGUCUGAGAGGACGACCAGCCACACUGGGACUGAGACACGGCCCAGACUCCUACGGGAGGCAGCAGUGGGGGAUUUUGGACAAUGGGGGAAACCCUGAUCCAGCAAUGCCGCGUGUGUGAAGAAGGCCUUCGGGUUGUAAAGCACUUUUGUCAGGAACGAAACGGUGGGGGCUAAUAUCCUCUGCUAAUGACGGUACCUGAAGAAUAAGCACCGGCUAACUACGUGCCAGCCGCCGCAGUAA